rnacentral:lncRNA from 1 species
CACCGUGAUCUUUCCACAAGUCAUGUGGAGCCCAUUCAAAAGCAUUGCGGGUCAAAUGGACACCAUUUUCCUCGGGAAGAUGGAGGGGGAAGUGGAGAGGCUACUCAGACCACAGAAUCGUCUGUGACUUCCAGGCAUGAGUUGCUUAGCAAAAUGACAGGAACUGUAAACACAUUCAUUGGGAGGGGUACAGUUCGUGACAUAUCAAAGUUCCGGAAUAACAUCCAUCAGCACUUCACUAUCAACAUGCAGCAGAUUGAACAUGUUUUCUUCUGAGGAACACUCUGCUCAUCCCUAAAUCAGAAUCUUUGGAGAAAAUGCAGAGCAUGUUGAAAAGCAGAUAAUAAAUAGUAACAGCAAGAAUAGGCUGUGUUAGUGCUUUUAGCCACAGUAAAUGCAUCUGAUAGG